rnacentral:rRNA from 1 species
AGUGAACGCUGGCGGUAGGCCUAACACAUGCAAGUCGAACGGCAGCACAGUAAGAGCUUGCUCUUACGGGUGGCGAGUGGCGGACGGGUGAGGAAUACAUCGGAAUCUACUUUUUCGUGGGGGAUAACGUAGGGAAACUUACGCUAAUACCGCAUACGACAUACGGGUGAAAGCAGGGGAUCUUCGGACCUUGCGCGAUAGAAUGAGCCGAUGUCGGAUUAGCUAGUUGGCGGGGUAAAGGCCCACCAAGGCGACGAUCCGUAGCUGGUCUGAGAGGAUGAUCAGCCACACUGGAACUGAGACACGGUCCAGACUCCUACGGGAGGCAGCAGUGGGGAAUAUUGGACAAUGGGCGCAAGCCUGAUCCAGCCAUACCGCGUGAGUGAAGAAGGCCUUCGGGUUGUAAAGCCCUUUUAUUGGGAAAGAAAAGCAGCAGGUUAAUACCCCGCUGUUCUGACGGUACCCAAAGAAUAAGCACCGGCUAACUUCGUG